rnacentral:piRNA from 1 species
UUGUAUUGUUUUGUGGUGUUUGCCUGU